rnacentral:rRNA from 1 species
CCUACGGGUGGCAGCAGUAGAGAAUCAUUCACAAUGGGGGAAACCCUGAUGGUGCGACGCCGCGUGGGGGAAUGAAGGUCUUCGGAUUGUAAACCCCUGUCAUGUGGGAGCAAAUUAAAAAGAUAGUACCACAAGAGGAAGCGACGGCUAACUCUGUGCCAGGGCCGCGGUAAUACAGAGGUCUCAAGCGUUGUUCGGAAUCACUGGGCGGAAAGCGUGCGUAGGCUGUUUCGUAAGUCGUGUGUGAAAGGCGCGGGCUCAACCCGCGGACGGCAAAUGAUACUGCGAGACUAGAGUAAUGGAGGGGGAACCGGAAUUCGCGGUGUAGCAGUGAAAUGCGUAGAUAUCGAGAGGAACACUCGGGGCGAAGGCGGGUUCCUGGACAUUAACUGACGCUGAGGCACGAAGGCCAGGGGAGCGAAAGGGAUUAGAUACCCCUGUAGUC